rnacentral:rRNA from 1 species
GACGUAGGGCGCGAGCGUUGUUCGGAUUCAUUGGGCGUAAAGGGCGCGUAGGCGGCGGGGUAAGUCUGGUGUGAAAUCUCGGAGCUCAACUCCGAAAUUGCACUGGAUACUGCUCUGCUAGAGGGCUGGAGAGGAGAUCGGAAUUCACGGUGUAGCAGUGAAAUGCGUAGAUAUGCGGAGGAACACCGAUGGCGAAGGCAAUCCCCUGGGCCUGCACUGACGCUCAUGCACGAAAGCGUGGGGAGCAAACAGG